GAGGGGGAGACUCAAUCUGAAAGAGACUUACCGAGACAAAAAUAAUUAAAACAAGGCAACAUGGAGGACUCAAGGGGUCCAAGUACGGGUGUCACACGCCAUAGCUCUGGGGGCCUCUGAUCUCUCCAACGGAGGAACACAUCUCACCAUGCAGCGCUGCUGGGGGAAGCACCAGAGUCGGUCACAAAGCAGGCAAAGAGAGGGGAUCUGUGGACAAGUACCUUUACCCUCAGAAAGGAACCCGUGAGGCAUGCACUUAGUACAGGUGAUUGUAGCAGCCUCUUUAUGGGUCAGAGCCGCCUACAGGACCAGAAGCUUCAUGAAGCCAGCACCCCAACUUCCAACACCAGCGUCCGCAAUGCCCAACAGAGAUCCCAGGUGAGGAAGCUGAACUGACUUUGGUGACAUAUAUUCCCCAAGAUCUGACAGCUGAUGAGUGACAGAGCACGUAUUCAAACCCAGAGAUGUGAAUUCGCUAUGCUGCCUAGGCUGGUCUUGAACUCCUGACUUCAAGUAAUCCUCCCACCUUCGCUUGCCAAAGUGCUGGGAUUAUAGGCGUGAACUACUGCUCCCAGCUGAGAGCUCACUUUUGUUUGCUAGUGGUGUUCUUAGUAUCUUUUCAUAUUUGAGGUUUUGGUGGUAGUGCUGAAGUAUUGUACUCACCAUCCAAGGUUUACAGGACUUUUGUUUUACUAUGGAACAGAUGGAAUUGUUUAGUUCUGCAUCUUUGCAAAUAUACAAAAUGUGCCUACCAGGACUCUGCUUUAUAUCCAUUGAAAGCAAGAAGUAAUACAGUAAAACUUUGCCUGGCUAGAGGCUUUGAAAGAAUGGACUAUUCUGAUUUAAUUGUAUUAACUUGGAAGUAUGAAGGUGAAAAAAAUUAAAAACUUAAAUUUCCUGUUGAAUGCAAUUUGAAAAUAUAGCCAUUGAUUCCACUUUUAUUCUCCAGUAAGUCUGGACAUUCUGAUAUACCUGGUGUUUUAUUAUAGAACUCCUAGUGUGCCUGAAGAUCAUUUUCUACAACUUUAAGUGUAAGAGGAUGUAAAUGGUAUUGUAUGAGAUCAGGCUGGAUGAGAACUGAUACUUG
rnacentral:lncRNA from 10 species